GAGAGAAUUCUGCUGCCCUUCGGGAUACUUCUCCUUCCACCUCAUCUCACUUUCUCUCCCAGAUAUGUUUCAUCUUCCUUCGCUUUCCUCCUCUCUACAUUGCUCUGGAUGUAUGCGUAGCGCCUGCUACAUCACCGAAAAGGCAUCGCAGACCUUCGAUCGUAUCAGACGGUGGAGAGUAACACCAGCUCAAAACCCUAGCCUCCAACUCAUAUACCUGCUGCUCGCCCCGACGCGCAUCAACUUCCGCCGCCGCCCCUUCCUCUUCGUCGCUCGCCUCACGCCUACGCCACCACCUCUGCCAUGGCCCCGAAGAAGGAUAAGGCCCCGCCGCCGUCGUCCAAGCCAGCCAAGUCCGGAGGCGGGAAGCAGCAAAAGAAGAAGUGGAGCAAGGGUAAGCAAAAGGAGAAGGUCAACAACGUUGUGCUCUUCGACCAGGCCACCUAUGACAAGUUGCUCUCCGAUGUGCCCAAGUACAAGCAGAUCACCCCAUCCGUCCUCUCCGAGCGUCUCAGGGCAAGAGCAAGUCUAUAAUCUUUUUUUAACGCAGGCUACAUCAGUGAGACAUUGCAGCUCAUACGAGUCUUGAAAGACGUCCUGAUUCCGAUGAAAGCUUGAGGCAAGAGGAGGUCUAUAAUCACUUCUAAAGUAGGCUACAUCACUGAGACAUUGCAGCCCAUAAUAGAAGAGGUGUAUGAGGUUCAGCUGCUAAUGGUCCUGUGAUUUUGCAUUUCUGCCAUCAUCAUUAUCAUCAUCCUUGGUCAAUACAAAUACCGUUCCAAGGGAGUCACAUAUGUUCACUGUAAUUAAUUAAAAACCCUAUUUUUAAGGGCAGUAAAUUAAAUCAGUGAAAUAAUGAAGCACCAAUCAUCUUACUUUUUCUCGAUACAAUGUUAACUUCACUUGAAAUAUGACUUAUUUACUUAUUAAUUUUAUAUGUUCAUUCGCUAUUUGGGAUCGUGCAAACCCAUCACCAAAAACUACGUGUUCUACUGAACACAGAUAUGCCUUUUCCAUUGAAGACAAUGCAAUGUUGUUCUUUUCAUCUUUUAAUUUCCAUUGAAACAAUAUAGUUUAUCCGAUAAACAAACUGUAGUCAGUUUUUUACCCCAAUUUUUUUCAAGAAAAUAUACAACAUAGUAUUUAAACAUGCCCCUUAACUGCAUAAAUAAAUGAAUGUACAAGUCAGCAGCCAUAUUCUAUUUAACAACGUUUUUAUGUCCAUACACGGUAAUCCGUAUACACAAAAACAUAAUUUAUUGCCACACAUACUAUAUAUGUGUUUUACAUAUCUACGAACUUAUAUCGGUUACACAGCCUCACACAAAGAGCGGGAUCAAAUCUAGGCUACUCAAUCUCAGGUAAGAAGGAUUUUCUUCCUCCCAUUCUUGAAUUGUCGUGAUCCUACUUUCUUAUACUAAGGGGAUAUUCUACGUUAAUGUGCAUUUUUUACUCAUGGUGGUUGUUAAUAUUUUUUUCUAAGAACAAAAACCUUAAGUGACUACAUGAUGUUUUCUUAGUCCUAACUAAUAAGUUGCGCAGUUGCUCUAGAAUUCUACAAGCUUAGGUACAAUAAUAUAAGUUGUUACCAUAUUAUUAUAUUGCUAAGGAUUCCUAACUGUUUUGAUACUUCUGAGUAUCUUGAUUUGUUGUUUUCUUCAGGUGAUCCAUGAUUAAUUGAUGGAGAAUUUCUUGACAAGUUUGACAUUGUUAUACUUAGCAUUGCAUCUCUUAAAAUGAAGUUGCAUAUUCUUCUCUGGAAAUAGUUCUACUUUUUAAUAUGUCACUUCAGUAACUCUACAGAAAGUUUUCAUGCUCAUCAUGCUUUUUUUCAGUUGUUUAUUAAUGAAAACUGCCGAAAGAGCAGCAAACACAUUGUGUUUUAUACUAUAGACUGCGAGGAUUCAUGUGAAGUAUUUAUUGAUUUAUAGAAGCAUAGUUAUGUUAAGGUAUGUUGCAUACUUAAACGUGAUUAACAUUGAUUUUUAAUGUUCAGAGCUAGCACAAGGUAUACCUUUAUGACCUAAGUAUUCCUGUGCAACCACUUGCAAUUGAAGUAUGUUCUGCCUAUAAUAUAUGUUCAUUUUCUUCAAAACUAUAAAUGGACAUAUAUGCAGUUAAAAUGUUAAACUCAUCAAUGUUUCCCUUCCAUAUGUUUGCACUGAAAAAAUGUGUCAUAAAAUGUGAGAAAACCAUAUGUUCAAAACUAUAAAUAGUUUACUGAACUAUCUCUUAUAUUAUGAAAUGUGUAUGUAUAUGUACAACUUGCUUGAAACAAUAUAAUAUUGUUACAACUUAUAAUACACCCUUUUAUCUUACAACUACUUCAAACACUGGAACCUAGUUUCCUUUGCUUUGCUCUUAUAUGUUUAUUUACUCUUAAACAUAUAUACAAUCAUUAUACAUUAUACUAUGCUGCUAAACGGAUCGGCACGCGCGCAUGGACGCGCGCCAUACACUAGUAUUUUUUAGUCUAUCAGCAUAGCCCAUGGUCAUCUGUGAUACAAACAGAACCUAAAAACUAGACAUGGAUUUUGAACGCCAACUGGGAGGAGUAAUUUACGAACCCAUUUAGCCCCGGUGGACUUAUGUAGCAGAUUUGCGUGACUAGUUUAGGAACUACAUUUUCCUAGAACUUUCUAUUGUUUUCUUCUUCUAAAAACAGUUAACUUUUCUUUUGGAAAAUAGAAAUACUUUUAAGAAAAUUAAGUUUCUAAACUAGGCCUUAGUGUAUUAUCAUGAUCAUGAUGAUGGACUAAGUUUUAGUCAAAAGUUAUAUAACUGAACAAAUAGGGUUCGUUCCGGAGAUCGGUCAGUGCACGACGCAAACGGGACAUCUGAUUUACGUGAUAUUGACUGCCUUUUCUACAUAUACACAUAUCGAUAUAUUAUGCGCGUCGAACACGUCUAUAAGACGUGGCCUUUUUGUCUUCACUCGUGGCGGACGACGCGUUGGGAAAAUGUAUGGCAACUACGGGUCUUCUAGUCUUGUUAAUCUUUGUGAAUGUUUUUGUAAAGACGCCAGGAAUCUCACGUUCGGUAUUUCCUCCCCGAUAUAUAUGCUGCUGCACCUGAUUCAGAUUUUUUCAGAGAGGAAAAGGAGUCGAUCUGAAACCGAAGCAUCGUCACCAACCCGAUAGGUCGGGUCCGACGAAACCAGGCAAAGACACAUGCCGCGGGCCGUGGAGUCAUUCCGAGCCCGUACAAAAGGUGGGCACGCCAGGGAACGAACGACUGGAGCCGGGGCAGCCCGUCGGUCUACGAUCUACCACUACCACCCGUCCACCCCUUUUCCUUUCCUCUCGCUCAGACGAAACGGAUCCAGUCCAUCCAGUCCAGCGCACCGGAUCGGAUCGAACCGGACCGAACCGACCGGCGCAUGUGGUCUGCUUGCCGGACCCACCCAAGUUGCCGCGGCGUGCACGGCCGAUCCAUCUCCACCCCGCAACGGGCGGCGGGCGGUGGUAUGCGACUGCGCUGCUCAAGUAGCUGACGGGGAUUCUAUUUUCGUCAUCGCCAAAGCUGGUUUCGGCCUUGCCGUCGUGGACGAUCACGCCACCCAAAUCAUUCGAUUCGCUGCACUGGUGCCGUUAGCUUGGAUUGGAGCUGUACUCGGUGAGUCGGCGCAGCGCAGUAGCUGAGCAGCAUGCACCGGCACCGUCGCCCGUCGGUUGGAUUGGAAAGGUAGUUGCCAUCGCCCAUCGGGGCAGGGGGUAGGGGAGGUGAUCACAUGCGCCGCGGCGGCGGCGCACGACUGCCCGGGGCCUCUGCACGCUAGUAGCGGAGACAGAGAGGCGCUGCAACAGCAGACCAGAGGUGGCAAUUAAUUCGUGGCGAAAGGCAUUUUAAAAGAAGGUGGUGGAGUUGGAGUGGGCACCCGCACCGCUGCACGGCCUGCCACUGCCAGCCUGCGAGAUCUCGAUGACACGCGUGGCCGGCCCGGGCAGGUGGAGCAGCAAUUUGCAUGCAUGCUCCUCGCGCUCGGAACGGAAGGACGGUGGGUGUGUGGCGCACGAUCGUGUUUGUUUGCCUGGCUGUGUCCGGUCCAGCCGGACCAGGAGGGAUCGGGUAGAGGACGCAGGACGCCAAAUCUAAAAACCGCAACAACUUCUUUUUUGUAAAAAGCCAAUCUUAUGUGGGCUUUUGUUUGUUCCAUUGGAUAGACCGUGGCCCAACUAACCUCGAAAUGCCAAAGGUGGGGCGUUAUUUCCUUGCCUCCAAUUUUUACG